UACGUAGGGGGCGAGCGUUGUCCGGAUUUAUUGGGCGUAAAGAGCUCGUAGGUGGUUUGGUAAGUCGGAUGUGAAAUCUCCAGGCUCAACCUGGAGGGGUCAUUCGAUACUGCCAUGACUAGAGUUCGGUAGGGGAGUGUGGAAUUCCUGGUGGAGCGGUGAAAUGCGCAGAUAUCAGGAGGAACACCCGUAGCGAAGGCGGCACUCUGGGCCGAUACUGACACUGAGGUGCGAAAGCGUGGGGAGCAAACAGG
rnacentral:rRNA from 1 species